rnacentral:lncRNA from 1 species
GAAAAUCAUGGUUUAUUUUUUCUUUGAUCUCUUUACUCUUUAUCUUUUAUAAAGGUUGAUGGUUUUUUGGAAAUAUAUGAGUGGAGAAUCACAAUAAAGAGAGAAGAAGGGAAUACCAGAGCUCCCAACAAAGAGAAAAGGAUGAAAAAGAAGAAAGAAAAUGGAGGAAUUAAAGAUAGAGAAGAGAAUUGAAGAGAACUUUGUUUAGUUUAAUUUACUUUUCCCUCAUCACAUUCUCUCUUUCUCUUUUUGUUUUAUUACUAUCUUUUUAGGGUUUUGUAUUGUAAAUUUGAGUGGCGAAGUUCCUUCGUAUUUAAGCUUUC